rnacentral:rRNA from 1 species
GGUCUGAGAGGAUGAUCAGCCACAUUGGGACUGAGAUACGGCCCAGACUCCUACGGGAGGCAGCAGUGGGGAAUAUUGGACAAUGGGGGAAACCCUGAUCCAGCGACACCGCGUGGGGGAUGAAGGCUUUCGGGUUGUAAACCCCUUUUCUGGGGGAAGAAUAAGUUCGAGAGGAAAUGCUCGAGCGAUGACGGUACUCCAGGAAUAAGCAUCGGCAAACUUCGUACCAGCAGCCGCGGUAAGACGAAGGAUGCAAGCGUUAUCCGGAAUUACUGGGCGUAAAGGGCGUCUAGGCGGUUGGGCAAGUCACUUGUGAAAUCCCUCGGCUUAACCGAGGACGGUCUCGUGAUACUGCCUAACUUGGGUGCAGGAGAGGAGAGUGGAACUCAUAGAGUAGCGGUGGAAUGCGCAGAUACUAUGAGGUACCCCGAUGGCGAAGGCAACUCUCUGGCCUGCUACCGACGCUGAAGCGCGAAAGCGUGGGGAGCAAAGGGGAUUAGAUACCCCCGUAGUCCACGCCGCAAACGAUGUUCACUGGGUGUCGGACGCUUAAUGUAGUUCGGUGCCGAAGCUAACGCGAUAAGUGAACCGCCUGGGGAGUACGGCCGCAAGGCUAAAACUCAAGAGAAUUGACGGGUCCCCGCACAAGCGGUGGAGCACGUGGCUUAAUUCGACGAUAAACGAAGAACCUCACCUGGGUUUGACAUGCUAGUGGUAGGAACCUGAAAGGGGGACGACCCUUUUCUUCGGAUUUGGGAGCUAGCACAGGUGAUGCAUGGCUGUCGUCAGCUCGUGUCGUGGGAUGUAGGGUUAAGUCCCGAAACGAGCGCAACCCCCGUCGUCAGUUGCCAGCGGAUAAUGCCGGGGACUCUGGCGAGACAGCCGGUUAAACGCCGGAGGAAGGAGGGGAUGACAUCAAGUCAUCAUGUCCCUUAUGCCCAGGGCGGCACACAUGCUACAAUGGGGGGUACAAAGGGUUGCAAUGUCGUAAGGCGGAGCGAAUCUCAAAAAGCCCUCCUCAGUUCGGAUUGAGGUCUGAAACUCGACCUCAUGAAGCCGGAAUCGCUAGUAAUCGCAGGUCAGCCAUACUGCGGUGAAUAUGUACUCGGGGAUUGUACACACCGCCCGUCACACCAACCGAGUGGGGGGUGCCUGAAGUCGCCUUUUUGAAGGUGCCUAGGGUAACCUUCGCGAGAGGGGUGAAGUCGUAACAAGGUA